UGGGAAGCUCCAGGAGCCAGAAGAAUCUCA
rnacentral:piRNA from 1 species